GGGGAAUUUUGGACAAUGGGCGCAAGCCUGAUCCAGCCAUGCCGCGUGUCUGAAGAAGGCCUUCGGGUUGUAAAGGACUUUUGUCAGGGAAGAAAAGGCUGUUGCUAAUAUCGACAGCUGAUGACGGUACCUGAAGAAUAAGCACCGGCUAACUACGUGCCAGCAGCCGCGGUAAUACGUAGGGUGCGAGCGUUAAUCGGAAUUACUGGGCGUAAAGCGAGCGCAGACGGUUACUUAAGCAGGAUGUGAAAUCCCCGGGCUCAACCUGGGAACUGCGUUCUGAACUGGGUGACUAGAGUGUGUCAGAGGGAGGUAGAAUUCCACGUGUAGCAGUGAAAUGCGUAGAGAUGUGGAGGAAUACCGAUGGCGAAGGCAGCCUCCUGGGAUAACACUGACGUUCAUGCUCGAAAGCGUGGGUAGCAGACAGGAUUAGAUACCCUGGUAGUCCACGCCCUAAACGAUGUCAAUUAGCUGUUGGGCAACUUGAUUGCUUAGUAGCGUAGCUAACGCGUGAAAUUGACCGCCUGGGGAGUACGGCCGCAAGGUUA
rnacentral:rRNA from 1 species